AUUGAACGCUGGCGGCAGGCCUAACACAUGCAAGUCGAGCGGAUGAAGGGAGCUUGCUCCUGGAUUCAGCGGCGGACGGGUGAGUAAUGCCUAGGAAUCUGCCUGGUAGUGGGGGAUAACGUCCGGAAACGGGCGCUAAUACCGCAUACGUCCUGAGCGAGAAAGUGGGGGAUCUUCGGACCUCACGCUAUCAGAUGAGCCUAGGUCGGAUUAGCUAGUUGGUGGGGUAAAGGCCUACCAAGGCGACGAUCCGUAACUGGUCUGAGAGGAUGAUCAGUCACACGGGAACUGAGACACGGACCAGACUCCUACGGGAGGCAGCAGUGGGGAAUAUUGGACAAUGGGCGAAAGCCUGAUCCAGCCAUGCCGCGUGUGUGAAGAAGGUCUUCGGAUUGUAAAGCACUUUAAGUUGGGAGGAAGGGCAGCAAGUUAAUACCUUGCUGUUUUGACGUUACCAGCAGGAUAAGCACCGGCUAACUUCGUG
rnacentral:rRNA from 1 species